GGUUAAAUACUUUAAAAGAAGAAGAAAUAGUUUGCAACUAUUAAGUAGGGUCUCCUUUUAACCA
rnacentral:tRNA from 1 species